ensembl:lncRNA novel transcript, antisense to ZBTB16
CUCCGCGCUCCGGGCUUCGCCUGACAUCUAGCUGCUGCUGGGGCGCCGGCGGCCGCCUCUCACCGGCCGAGCGGAGAGGAAGGAAGGAGCCAGAGGACAGGAGUGCAUGGGGACUCAGAAUCCUUAAUAGGGGAACUGAGGGUGAAGGGCGCGCAGCAGCCCCCACCUACUCCCAAGAUUUUAAUUUGCACUGGAUACGGGUUUUGUCCCCCCCUCCCCGCACCCCGGUGCUCAAGCACGCAGUUUUGUCUCCUCUUCCAAUGUUUGCCCCAAUUCAGUGCGUGUCAUCUCGCCUUUAACUUUUUUCUCAUGGCUCGGGGCUGCAGUCCCCCUGACAUCUGUUUUAAAAGGCCGCUUUCCUAGCCCAAACCCGGCCCUCUCAUCCUCCUGGUUACUGCGCGCCUCCCGGCUUGAGCAUCCGGAUUUCAAUAAGUCUCCCGAGGCAGAGUUCGCGGGCGCUAGUGAACCAGGUGCCAGAAGGUCCGCGGGGAUCUAUUGUCGAAGCGAGACACCCGUUUUUAGCUGUCGCGAUUGCUGGAGGCCAAGGUCGAGUCCUGGGAGAAACUUUUCUCUCUCCCAAACCUUGGACAGCCUCUCGGCUCUGCCCUCAUCCUACCCCCCCGCCCCCCAGCAAUCUGGGUGGAAACAGUUCCCGAGAACUGCGCCCAGCUCAGUGCACAGUCUUCAGGGGGCAGGGGGAAGCUUGGACAACCUCUGGGCCCCUCAAAAGUGUGUCCUCCUUCAGCUGGCCGCCCUACUUCAGAGGGUAGAGCAGCCAAAGAAAAUGUACUCUUCCUCUGACUGCAGAAAGCUGCCCUCUCCCCUUUUCCCUGGAGCUGAGCGAAGGUAGGGUGCCAGAGGCGGGAAGCGCUCUUCGGGCACGGGCUGUGGAUUCUGACCGAAGCCCAGGAGGUUGGGGUGGGAGGUGGGGGUGGCCGAGAGCGCCAUCCAGGGUUCUCAGGCCAGUCAGCCCUCGAGGUCACGCGGUUUUAGCAAUGCGGAGCUUAUGUCACCAAGGCCUGAGUCUGCAUGUUCUGUCCGUGACUCACGGGUGGGCCAGAGGUUUUCCGCAGGACUCACCUAGAAUCACACCUCCAUGCGUGCCUCUGGCACUGCCCCAGACCCAGUCCCAUGAACUGUAGGGUCAUGGAAGGUGGCAGAAAUCUGUAUCUGUUCGCUGAAGGCCAGGCGGUAGAGUUUACACAUCGGAACUGAUCCGGGUUCACAAGAGCCGCUCAUGAGGCAGCCCCAAAGACGGGUCAUUCCAUCCCAGCAAGAGCCACUCCUGACUCUUAAGAGCAGGGAAAGCUCAGCCCAGCAGGAGUCUGCGGAGAGAGCUGGGCAGGGGAACACACUUGAGUGAAGGAAGGGCUCCUCUGAUAGCACGGGAUACAACCACAUCAAACCCAGGGCAAGCGGAGGGGAAGCCCAGUCCCUGGGUAUUCAUUUCAUUAACAAUAAAGAGCAAUCCCA